AGGGGGGAGAUGUAAGGACAGUAGUUUGAGCUAUAUUGUAUUUAGCGCGUAAAUAGGUUAGGGAAUAAAACAGGUGGCGUUAGUGCUACAAAGAAAGCAGGAGUGAAAAGAUAUAGAAAUUAAGAAAUAUAUGUAAGAAAAUUAAUCAAGAAACAACGGUGUGGAUAUUAGCAUUGAAUGUUGUUUCUUUGUUAUUACAGAGAAACAAUUCUACCUAUUAUCUACCCAUAACCUGCACAAUAAAUAAGACAUUAUA
rnacentral:lncRNA from 1 species